rnacentral:rRNA from 1 species
CCCCUAGAUGUUCUGGGCCGCACGCGCGCUACACUGAACAGUUCAACAAGUCUUAACCUUGGCCGAUAGGUCUGGGUAAUCUUUGAACGCUGUUCGUGAUUGGGAUAGACCUUUGCAAUUAUGGGUCUUCAACGAGGAAGUCCUAGUAAACGCAAGUCAUCAGCUUGCAUUGAUUACGUCCCUGCCCUUUGUACACACCGCCCGUCGCACCUACCGAUUGAAUGGUCCGGUGAAAUCUCGGGACGGCGGCUUGGUCGCUUGCGUCCGACUGCUGAAACUUGAUUAAACCAUAUCAUUUAGAGGAAGGUGAAGUCGUAACA